UGGUUCUGGGUCAGGGUGACUGGGGUGUUAGAUACUCCACUCAGAGUAUCUGUGCCUUGAAGGGGUCAACAGUGGAGAUGUCCUGCUCUUACACAUUUCCCAGUGGAAAAGUCACAUCAACCUUCUGGUACACUAAAGAUACAUAUAAAAAUCCUGUGAACCUGAUUGUGGACUCAGACUAUACAGGUCGUGUCAAGUACCAUGAUGAGAGGUAUAGACACACCCUGACAAUCACAGACCUGAGAGAGAGUGACUCAGUUGUGUACAAGUUCAGAUUCAUAACAGAUGGAGACAAAUAUACUGGGGGUCCUGGAGUCACUCUUACUCUCACAGGUCUGCAGGUGAGGAUGACAGCUGUCAUUAUAACAGACGGAGAUAGUGUGACUCUGACCUGUACAACAACAUGUACUUUGAUUGGCCACACCUACAUUUGGUACAGGAA
ensembl:lncRNA